rnacentral:rRNA from 1 species
UACGAAGGGGGCUAGCGUUGCUCGGAAUCACUGGGCGUAAAGCGCACGUAGGCGGCUUUCUAAGUCAGGGGUGAAAUCCUGGAGCUCAACUCCAGAACUGCCUUUGAUACUGGAGAGCUUGAGUCCGGAAGAGGUGAGUGGAACUCCGAGUGUAGAGGUGAAAUUCGUAGAUAUUCGGAGGAACACCAGUGGCGAAGGCGGCUCACUGGCUCGGUACUGACGCUGAGGUGCGAAAGCGUGGGGAGCAAACAGG